GAACCUUCAUGAACUUCCUGCAUUAACAUGUCCGCUUCGGGUCUGUCCACGCAUCUGAGCAAGACCAUGUCAAAGUUUCUCUUAUACAACACAUCAUCUUGAUUCAAAUAGAAGCUUCCAGCUAGCCUUCUCAGGGUCUUCUUGUCAUUUUUCGACGCACCUUCAGGAUACUCCUGAGUCUUGAGGAAAUUCUUGAUGUCA
rnacentral:lncRNA from 1 species